GAUGAACGCUAGCUACAGGCUUAACACAUGCAAGUCGAGGGGAAACGACAUCGAAAGCUUGCUUUUGAUGGGCGUCGACCGGCGCACGGGUGAGUAACGCGUAUCCAACCUGCCCACCACUUGGGGAUAACCUUGCGAAAGUAAGACUAAUACCCAAUGACGUCUCUAGAAGACAUCUGAAAGAGAUUAAAGAUUUAUCGGUGAUGGAUGGGGAUGCGUCUGAUUAGCUUGUUGGCGGGGUAACGGCCCACCAAGGCGACGAUCAGUAGGGGUUCUGAGAGGAAGGUCCCCCACAUUGGAACUGAGACACGGUCCAAACUCCUACGGGAGGCAGCAGUGAGGAAUAUUGGUCAAUGGGCGAGAGCCUGAACCAGCCAAGUAGCGUGCAGGAAGACGGCCCUAUGGGUUGUAAACUGCUUUUAUAAGGGAAUAAAGUGAGCCUCGUGAGGCUUUUUGCAUGUACCUUAUGAAUAAGGACCGGCUAAUUCCGUG
rnacentral:rRNA from 1 species